CCUCUUCUACAGCUAUGCGCCCUAAAAGAUUCUGCCUCAUUCGUCCUCGUUUUUCUCGUUUACCCUCCGCUGCCUCGUUGCCUCCGCUUCGCUUCCUCUCUCUGUGCUUCCCACGGCUGUAGGACGUCCGCGCUCGCUUGGUCUGGUCGUCGUUCCGGCCGCUCUCUUCCUCUUCCCCUGCCGCGUUGCUCCGUCUUCUAGAUCUCAAGGGUGUUCUCGUGUUUUAGUCUACUCAGGAUCUUCCUCCCUCCGGCUCGCCCACUGCUGCACUGGCGGGGCGAGCCCCCGCCGGCCGUCCUCCACUCCUGCGGCUUCCUGCAUCCUUCCUGGAUUCGGGUCGCGGUGCCCACCGUGCAGCUUCUGCUUCUUCUGAUGCCGUCUUGUUCCUGUAAGUUUCUAUGAAUUUGUACUUCAUUUCACCUAUGUAUGCGUACAUUGUUUUUUCUUUUUUUGUCAACACAUAGUUCUUUUGCGGCCGUUUGGUUUGCACAGGGUGUGUUGACGGUCUUUAAUGCUCACAUUUAACCGUCAACUAAUCAGAGAAAAGGACCUAUAUGCAACCAACACCCAGACUUAGGGUUUUAUCUGACAGAAUUCUACGAGGUUUGGUGUUUGUCUAUUUUUGCAGAGGGGCCCACACGUCGGGUUUACAUAGAGAUAUUAACGUGUGCGGUAAUUUUCUAUCAUCUAGAAGACUCCAGAAGCCACGGGAACGAGCGGGAGGCCGAGCGGGUGUUGACGGUCCUUAAGUAUCAAAUUUAAUUAUCAAAUAAAUAAAGAAAAGGAUCCAAAUGAAAUCAACAUCCAUACUUAGGGUUUUAUCUGACAGAAUUCCACGAGUUUUGGUGUUUGUCUAUUUCUGCAGGGGGUUAUGAGGAAAUACGAAAGAAAGGCCCACAUGUCGGGAUUACAUAGAGAUAUCAACGUGCCGCGCAAUUAUCUUACAUCUAGAAGACUCCAGAAGCCACGAGAAGGAAGCGGAGGCCGAACGGGGCCUGGCUCUGGGCGCCCGCCCAGGAGACCAGGGCGCCCGCCCCCUGUUGGACUCCGAUCAGGACUCUCUUUCGGGAUCGAUCUCCACCGACCUAAAGCAUCAAGGAUAACCGUUCAAUCAAUGUCGGUUUGAUCCAACGGCUCAUAUUUACUUGGAGGGACUAUAAAACCAGACCCCCUGGCCCCUGGAGGAGAGAGCCUCUCAACCCUAAUUCAUUAUUCUUCAAGGGAGAAGAAGCCUCUGAUCAAGCCUAGAGCCACCACAUCAAUUAGACAUCUAGAUUAGCAUAGCUACAUAAGAUUAGAACUAGAAGGAGUCAAUCUUCGAUUGAUUUCCGGAUCUGUCAAGAGGAUUCUUGGUAAUUCUCUAAUUGUUCUUCUAAUUGUUCUUCUAAUUCUUCAAUAUUAUGAAUAUGACUUUGUUCUACUUUAA
rnacentral:lncRNA from 1 species